UACAGAGGAGCCAAGCGUUGUCCGGAUUGACUGGGCGUAAAGCGCACGCAGGCGGAUGCGCGCGUGGGGUGUGAAAUCUGGCCGCUUAACGGCCAGGCGCCAUCCCAUACGGCGCGUCUGGAGUGAUGCAGAGGUCGAUGGAAUUGCCGGUGUAGUGGUGAAAUGCGUAGAGAUCGGCAGGAACACCCAGGGGGAAACCAGUCGACUGGGCAUCUACUGACGCUGAGACGCGAAAGCGUGGGGAGCAAACAGG
rnacentral:rRNA from 1 species